AUUGAACGCUGGCGGCAGGCCUAACACAUGCAAGUCGAGCGAGCGGCGGACGGGUGAGUAAUGUCUGGGAAACUGCCUGAUGGAGGGGGAUAACUACUGGAAACGGUAGCUAAUACCGCAUACCAUCAGAUGUGCCCAGGUGGGAUUAGCUAGUAGGGGGGGUAACGGCUCACCUAGGCGACGAUCCCUAGCUGGUCUGAGAGGAUGACCAGCCACACUGGAACUGAGAAAAGGUCGCGACUCCUACGGUGGGCAGCAGUGGGGAAUGUUGCACAAUGGGCGAAAGCCUGAUGCAGCCAAGCCGCGUGUGGGAAGAAGGCCUUCGGGUUGUAAAGCACUUUCAGCGGGGAGGCGUUACCCGCAGAAGAAGCACCGGCUAACUCCGUGCCAGCAGCCGCGGUAAUAC
rnacentral:rRNA from 1 species